AGUAUGGAACCUACUAAGUGAGAACUUUCAA
rnacentral:tRNA from 1 species